GCGACUGGUUCUUCAGGCAACAGCACCAGCACAAACACAGUUCCUUCCCUGCUCAAAGAACUUCACGGUCUUGUGCUGCAAAUUCAGGGCUCGUCACAGAGGAGGAUUUCGUGACAAGUCCAAAGAGCAUCUGGGUAGGAGACUAGACCCACAUGCACGUGCACUCCAUCUAUCUGUCAUUUGUUCGAGAUAUUUUACUUCAUCUGUCACCGAGAUACUAUAGCAGGCAAAGUGGAUGUAGGACAUUUUCAGAGAGGAGACAACUUUGUCAAACUGACAGAGAUGUUGUACGAGACAUUUCUUAGAUAUCAAAAUGAAGUGGAAGAUUUUCUGCCAGACAAAGGAAGUUGCGAGGAGACCAGCAACCUUGACUCCGAAGAUGAAAGCCAAGCAGACGGUGGUCUUUGGCAGAGUGCCCUUGUGUACAUCAUCUGGAAGGAGUGUUAUUCGCCCAGACCGUUUGAACCUCUGAGUAGAGCUUUUGAAAUGAUAGACAGCCCUAAAAUAUAUACUAUUAUUACUCCAUUGCUGUUGUGUCUUCAGUGACUUCAGUGGAUGUUUUAGUAUUCUCUACAUUGCUAUCAUGUCAAAUUUGAUACAAGGCAUUCACUUUUAACCGGUAGUGUCACAUCAAUUUGUUAUUUUAUUGGGGUCAUUACUAGUCUAGCCAUGGAUCAAGGUUGAAUAAACUGCACCUACAAAAACUGAAAGUCA